CCCUGGCUGGCUCAGUUGGUAGAGCGUGACUCUUGAUCUCAAGGUUGUGAGUUCAAAUCCCAUGUUGGGUG
rnacentral:tRNA from 1 species